rnacentral:snoRNA from 1 species
UGGGUAUUAGAAUUCAUGUAUAAGAACGGGUAGCCUGAAGAAUGACUUCUCUGUUUGUGACAUACCCAACAGGAAUUUAGGGUCAUUGUGACAAGGGACACAAAACUUGAGACUUCCCUUUGAGCAAAUAUUCUACACAU